CUACAUUGGUUCCUACUUCAUUAAAACCUGUUUCUCAUAUAAAUAUUUCUACAGCAUUCUCAACGAUGAUUCCCAGUGAACAGAUUUUUCCACAUCUUGGCAGUAACAUUUCUUUAAUAACUAACAGUUCUGAAGCCCCUUUAAUUACUUCCACUUCAUUGCUUCCUGAAACAUCUGAUAAUGUGAUCAAUGAUAUAAAUAAUAAUUCUUUUAUGGGGGAUAGUCCAGCAGUUUCUUCUUUUUCUCCUGUUUUUACAUAUUCCAAUACUACUGAUAUUUUAGAAACUAUUCCUACAAAAGCCAUUACUUCAAUGGCAUCCAGUCCCGUUGUUAAUGGU
rnacentral:lncRNA from 1 species